AUACAGGUAGAUAUAGGAACGUUAAGAACAGGUAGAUAUUGGAACGUUAAGAACAGGUAGAUAUAGGAACGUUAAGAUCAGGUAGAUACUGGAACGUUAAGAACAAGCAGAUAUUGGAACGUUAAGAACAAGUAUAUAUAGGAACGUUAAGAACAGGUAGAUAUUGGAACGUUAAGAUCAGGUAGAUAUAGGAACGUUAAGAACAGGUAGAUAUUGGAACGUUAAGAACAGGUAGAUAUUGGAACGUUAAGAACAGGUAGAUAUAGGAACGUUAAGAACAUGCAGAUAUUGGAACGUUAAGAACAGGUAGAUAUUGGAACGUUAAGAACAGGCAGAUAUUGGAACGUUAAGAACAGGUAGAUAUUGGAACGUU